ACAUAUUUGAACAUAACAAAUGCCAUUAAAGAACUGUUUGGCUGUUUUAAUAAAAAUAACCCCACUAUUAAAGCAGUACCCCUUUCUGAAAACAGGCAAAAUUUGAAUAUCAGUCAUGUCUAUCAAAUGAUCUGUAAAUCUCAUUCUAGUCUAUCUUUAUGAAUGUUUUCUUAGUAUUUAGAUAUUGUGAAGCUAGAAGAGUAUUCUUAUCUAUUAUUUUUAUUUUUUUUCCUCCAGUUUGAAUGAACCAAAUUCAAUAGUUUACCCCUCCCCCUUUUUUUCAAUGAAAUCUACCCAUUACUCUUGUUUAAGUCAAAAUUGAAAAACUACCCAAAACUUUUUCAUACUUAAGAAUUUGCUACAAUACAACUAUCUGAACACAAGAAAGACCAUACCUUUCUCUUUUUUUACUAUACAGGUCUUUAUACAUGCCUACAAUAUCAUGGUUUUUAGACUGUACUUGACACACCAAUGCAUAUGAAAUUUUUAAAUAAGUUUAAAAUUCAAGAAAACACAAAAUGAAUACUCAACUUGGUGUUUUUGGUAAGAAUAUUGAUUACUUGUCACACCUAAUUACAAAAAAUCCUUGUCAUGAUGGAUAGCUUUAGAAAAAUUCUACUUUUUGAAUAAAUGUUUAACCCAAACAUUAAAAUUUCAAUUAACUAUGCAGUGCCGCAGAUAGCAACAGAAGUAUAGACUCAUGAAAAAUGAACAUUUUGUAAAAAUAUUUUUACCAAAAGUUCAUUUUAUACAUAUUCUACCUAAAUGUCAGCAAUUGAGUCAUAAAAAUAAUAACCCUAA
rnacentral:lncRNA from 1 species